GUGCUCUCCUCUCUCCUGACUCUUCAUUCCUGCCUUGUGCUACCCAGGAUGGACGGCUGCCCUCCACCUCACUGCACCUGCCCAGAUCUGCACCCACCCAGACCCUGCGCCAGAGAUCUCUCCGGAGCAUUCAAGUGCACGGGCAGUUCCCGACUUCGUGUUUUCUAUGGCAGAGAGCUGUUCGAGCUCCUCUGGGAAGAGGGGAGUAAAAGAAAAAGUUGACAAUCUCAUGUCAGUCCUCCAAUUUGGGGGAAAAUUGUUCUACUCCGGAAAGCAACGCACUCAAAAACCACUUGCCCUGUGUUCUCAGGCUGUAAAUGAGACACCCCUGAGUCAGUCAGUCUCCUCUUCCAGCUGUUUGGAAAGCCAGCACUUUACUCCCAGGGCUGGCCGUGUAGGAGCAGGUGACUUUCUGCUAAACACUGGGAGGCCCCUCUCCUCCUCCCGUCGCCAGUCUGCCUAUAAGGAAGUAACCUUGCAUGAACGAGUUACAUCUUCUGCAGUCGUUUGAUACAAAGUCUGAAAACCAGGCAUGAGUUGGAGUUUGAAGACCUGGGAAUGAGCCUUGGUUCUGCCACUUCAAAACUGCAUGAACUUUUGCACAUGUUGUAAUCUUCUUGAAGCUGAAAAAAAAAAUGUUCAGAGUUGCCAAGAUAAUAAAACAUA